rnacentral:rRNA from 1 species
GACGAACGCUGGCGGCGUGCUUAACACAUGCAAGUCGAACGAAGUGGCGAACGGGUGAGUAAUACGUGAGUAACUGCCCUCCUUUUUGGGAUAAGCCUUGGAAACGGGGUCUAAUACCGAAUAAAGGGGGAUGGGCUCGCGGCCUAUCGGCUUGUUGGUGGGGUGAUGGCCUACCAAGGCGGUGACGGGUAGCCGGCCUGAGAGGGGACGGGCGACAUUGGGCUAGGAGACGGCCCAAACGCGUACGGGAGGCAGUAGUGGGGAGUAUUACAGAAUGGGGGAAAGCCUGAUGCAGCGGCGCCGCGGGCAGAAUGACGGCCUUCGGGGUGUAAACCGAUUUCAGCCAUGACGCGGUAGUGGCAGAAGAAGCACCGGCUAACUACGUGCCAGCAGCCGCGGUAAUUC